UACGGAGGAUGCAAGCGUUAUCCGGAUUUAUUGGGUGUAAAGGGUGCGUAGGCGGCGUAAUAAGUCAGUGGUGAAAGCCGGCAGUUCAACUGUCGAGGUGCCAUUGAUACUGUUAUGCUUGAGUACAGACGAGGUAGGCGGAAUUUAUGAUGUAGCGGUGAAAUGCAUAGAUAUCAUAAAGAACACCUAUAGCGAAGGCAGCUUACUAGGCUGUAACUGACGCUGAGGCACGAAAGCGUGGGGAGCAAACAGG
rnacentral:rRNA from 1 species